AGAGAGUCUUGACAAGGGGCUUGAACCCGUGAACUGUGAGAUCAUGACCUGAGCUGAAGUUGGCUGCUUAAGCGACUGAGCCACCCAGGCGCCCCUCCCCUUUCAGCAUUUUAAGUAUUACCUUGCCACUCCUUUCUUGCCAGCCAAAUUUCUGCUGGAAAAUCAACUGACAGUCUUAUGUGGGUUUCCCUUGUAUAUGGCUCUGUUUUGCUGCCUGCAAGAUUUUUCUCUUUACCUUUUUCUAUUUUAAUUAUAAUACAUUGUGGUGUGGCUCCCAUUGCACACUUUUUCCUGGGUGUCUGCUUCCUUACCCAGAUUAGGAAAGUUUUCAGGUAUUAUUUCUUCAAACAAGUUUUCUUCCCUUCUGUGUUCUUCUGGGACCCCUAUCAUGUGCAUGUUAGUACGUUUGUUGUCCCAGUAGUUUCCUAACCUAUCCCCACUUUUUAAAUUCCUUUUUUGCCGUUUGGCUUGGAUUCUUUGUUGUACCCUUCCAGAUCUCUAUCCAUUGUUUUGUAUCCUCUAAUCUGUUGUUAGUUCCUCCUAGUGGAUUUUUCAUUUGUUACAUUCUUCAGCUAACAAGUUCUUGUUUAGUAUUUUCUCUUUGCUGAGGUUCUCCACUCUUCUCUCAAGUCUGAUGAACAUAUUUAUCAUUAUUUUGAACUCUUUUACAGGUAGAUUGCUUAUCUCCAUUUUGUUUUGCCUAUUUCUAUAAAUUGGGCAGAACAGCUUCCUCUCCCAGCCUUGAAGGAAUGAGUGGCCCCGUGUAGGAAUGCCUGCGUAGACCACACAUGCUUGACAACUUUGGAUGAGUCUAUCCCCCAAGAAGAAAACUUUUAAUUUUGGAGAAGUGGUCUCCUCGGGUUGUCGUCUUCACCAAUGAGACACAGACUCGGGAAUUUAAUACACCAAGACGACAGGCUUCUUGUACAGAAGGGCUUGUCACUGGAGACACAACAGGAACUACAGUUUUCCUGCUCUACCCCAAGCCUGUGCAAGUAGGUAUACAGGAGGACAUCCAGCAGCAGUCUGCUGGAAACUACAGUGACCUCACGUAAAAUGUGUGCAGCAUGAUGACUUACGUACACACGUGGAAGUAAUCACUACAAUCAAGUUAAUGAGCGUAUCCCAGUUUCCCUCACAGUUUCACGCGGUCAUGUCUGAGUUCUGGCGAACAAGAUGUCGGCAGAUGUUGAUAAGCCAUCUAGGAAAGCUGUUUACAAGGAGAGGACUCCAGGAGAAAGUCCUUUCAUCUGUAGCUCCACCCACUCGCUCCUCCUGAGCCUUGAGUACAAGGUGAUGGCUGGACUUGAGAGUCACAGACAACCAAAAGCUAACCUGAAUGCAGAAGUCAAUGCUAAUGAUGGCAGGGAGCCUGGCUGGGUCCCUGUGGACACUGUAGAGCCACUGUCAGCUUCAGACUAUCUACUAUGGAUGUGUUUGAUUUGAGAGAAAUAAACCUCCAUCCUCUAGAAGUCACCAUUUUGGGGGGCAUCUCUGUUAAAUGUAGUCGAACCUAAUCCUGUUAUACAACCAUCAUUAAACUCCAUUUUAUCUUCUA